GAACUGCACUGCACUCAGAAAACGAAUAUGAAGUUGAAAAGUAAUGUAGUGUCGAGUGGGAAUGGAAUUUGUACUUCAAGUGCAGAUUCAAUCCAUUUUGAGUCGAUUUCCGAACGAUAUCAAACGUUCAGAGGAGCGUGCUCUAACGACACAAGUGCAGAUUCAAUCCAUUUUUACGAAUAACUGUCCAGAUUCAAUCCAUUUUUUAUGAAUAACUGUCCAGAUUCAAUUCACAACGUGCCCUAACGACACUCAAAUUACAAUGGCCGUUGCAAAAAGCAGAUCGUGUUCCCGUUGGAAAAAGCAGGAUUUCAAUUCUUUUAAAAGGACAUAUACUAGAGAAGCAGAGCAGAUUAUAUUUUUUUUGGUUUUCUUUCACCUAUAGAUUAUAUUGUUCUUUCAUUUUUUUUGGUUUUCUUUUUAACUUCAAUUUUUUUUUGGCGUGGCCAUGCCUCUGAGUCUUGCUUUCCUGAGUUUGUAAUUUUUACUUUUUAUACUCAGAUGUUUUCAUUUGCUUUCUGGGUUUGAAUUGCAGUUUUUUGUUUUGGUAUUUUGUGUAUUUCUUUUCUGUGGGGCGUCAUUUUUGAUGGGCAUGGAGGUAGGCAGCAGCAAGAAUUCUACGUGUUGGAGUGGCUGAUUGGAGUUAUGGACAGAAAAUGGGCAGAGCCAUAGAUUGACUCCGCUCGACCAUUUUAACAGUAGUAGAAUAAACCUCACCCCACCAAUACGUUCACCAUAUCUUGGUCACCAUGUUGUCGAGGUCCCUUAGGAGAUGAAGUCAAAGAUUUUAGAUAGGUCUGAUUGAUUACACUUUGUGUAAUAUAAAUAAAUGAGAGACUAUUGGG